UAAUAACAUUGUUAAAAGGUCAAGGAUAUCGGAUAUUUGUAACAGAGAAUAUCUCUCUCUAUCAAUCUCCUGUCGUUGUCCGCAUGUCGUCAAUGGCUUCUCUGAAGCUUUCACCUUCUUCGCCAAUCUCUAUCCCUAAGAUAAAUGUCAGAGGAGGCGUGUCGUGGUAACAUUAGGCGUUGUAGCUUCUUGGAUCUCAUUGCUUUGUAAAGCUCCAGUAUCAUAAAGCAAGAAAGGAUUCAUGACUGUCUCUGACAAUAAGGAUGCUUAUUCCUUUCUCUAUCCCUUUGGCUGGCAGUGGCAGGUUUAUAUCCUCUCUUCUCUUCCAUUUCAAACACAAUGACAUUUGCAAAGACUGACCCACAAUGUUGUGUGUUGGUGUCAGGAAGUUGUGAUUGAAGGUCAAGACAAGGUAUACAAAGACGUCAUUGAGCCUUUAGAAAGCGUCAGUGUCAAUCUGAUCCCGACCAGUAAACAGACUAUCAAAGAUUUCGUCCCUCCUUAAGCAUAUAGCUGAGACACUGAUACUGAAAGUUUCAGCACCUCCAAAUCAGAAGACAACUCUUAUUGAUGCAUCAGAGUUAGUCUCCUCAUUUUCCUUAUCUCUAGUUUUAUGUUUUGAAAAAGCCAAUUUUUUCUGAAUGUAUUCACUUAUUACUACACAAACACACACACAAAGCUUUUUAACUUCUCAAAGAGAAGAAAAAAUCGGCAAACCAGACAACGUAGAACCAGCGUCAACAAUGUAAACAUUCCCAGAGACAUACCUGGAAGAGUCAUGAAUCAGAUACCUAACCAGCGAGACCUUCCGUGAUCUCCGACUUAAACAGCCCCGGCGCUAUCGAGUUCACUCUUAUACCAUACUCACCCAUCUCCACCGCCAUCAUCUUCGUCAUAAUAUCCAGCCCUCCUUUCGAACACGCGUACGCCAACGCUCCCGGUAGCUUCCCGCGCUGAAGCCCCGCGAUGGAGGAAACGUUUAUCACCGAACCUCCUCCGCGUUUGGCGUCGCGCAUUAGAACGCAGACGUGUUUUGAUACUAGCC